CAGAGCUGGAAGAAGAGAUGGCAGGAUAUGAGGCCAAGACAGUUUGAUUCCAAAAAUCCAAACAAUUCAGAGCUUUACUGUGCAUUGUCAGCUUCCAAAAGAUAGACUCUUCAUGCUUUCAUUAUUUUGAUGCAAGAAAAAGAAGAAAUGAAAUGCAAAAGCACAAUGGGCAGAUUUUUUAACAGAAUGUCUUCCCAG
rnacentral:lncRNA from 1 species